GACGAACGCUGGCGGCGUGCUUAACACAUGCAAGUCGAACGGAAAGGCCCUGCUUUUGUGGGGUGCUCGAGUGGCGAACGGGUGAGUAACACGUGAGUAACCUGCCCUUGACUUUGGGAUAACUUCAGGAAACUGGGGCUAAUACCGGAUAGGAGCUCCUGCUGCAUGGUGGGGGUUGGAAAGUUUCGGCGGUUGGGGAUGGACUCGCGGCUUAUCAGCUUGUUGGUGGGGUAGUGGCUUACCAAGGCUUUGACGGGUAGCCGGCCUGAGAGGGUGACCGGCCACAUUGGGACUGAGAUACGGCCCAGACGCCUACGGGAGGCAGUAGUGGGGAAUAUUGCGCAAUGGGCGGAAGCCUGAUGCAGCAACGCCGCGUGCGGGAUGACGGCCUUCGGGUUGUAAACCGCUUUCGCCUGUGACGAAGCGUGAGUGACGGUAAUGGGUAAAGAAGCACCGGCUAACUACGUG
rnacentral:rRNA from 1 species